rnacentral:rRNA from 1 species
UGGGGAAUUUUGGACAAUGGGCGAAAGCCUGAUCCAGCAAUGCCGCGUGUGUGAAGAAGGCCUUCGGGUUGUAAAGCACUUUUGUCCGGAAAGAAAUCCUUGGCUCUAAUACAGUCGGGGGAUGACGGUACCGGAAGAAUAAGCACCGGCUAACUACGCGCCAGCAGCCGCGGUAAUACGUAGGGUGCAAGCGUUAAUCGGAAUUACUGGGCGUAAAGCGUGCGCAGGCGGUUUGCUAAGACCGAUGUGAAAUCCCCGGGCUCAACCUGGGAACUGCAUUGGUGACUGGCAGGCUAGAGUAUGGCAGAGGGGGGUAGAAUUCCACGUGUAGCAGUGAAAUGCGUAGAGAUGUGGAGGAAUACCGAUGGCGAAGGCAGCCCCCUGGGCCAAUACUGACGCUCAUGCACGAAAGCGUGGGGAGCAAACAGGAUUAGAUACCCUGGUAGUCCACGCCCUAAACGAUGUCAACUAGUUGUUGGGGAUUCAUUUCCUUAGUAACGUAGCUAACGCGUGAAGUUGACCGCCUGGGGAGUACGGUCGCAAGAUUAAAACUCAAAGGAAUUGACGGGG